UACUUUUUAAAUUAAAUUAAAAAUGUAAAAACACUGAAACCAACUUCAGUGUUGUAUAAAUCCUGACUAACGUUAGUUUUAACUGUCUGCACAAACAAUAUUUGAAGAGUUAAAUUUCAGUUUGUGGGAAUUACAUGAGAAUAAAAACUGGUGGAUUUGAUUUUAUUGAGCUUUAAUGUUUCUCUCUGCUUCAUAUAAGAAUAAGGAAAUAGUUUCUACUGGAGCUAGAGACAUUUACAACUCAAUGAAUUCUGCUUUUUUCACAUUAGAUUUCAACUGUUUUACUCUUUUCUCCAUAACUUUCUGUCUCUACAUGUAUGCAGCAGCACACACUCAGCUCUAAUUUUGCUCAUAAUAAACAGAAUAAAUUCAUAUUUAUUCCUGUGUUCCUGCUUAUAUUUUCCAUUAAAGCUGCAGGCGGUGACCUGACAGCAGCAUGUGGGAGUGAUUUUCAUACAUGUAUAAGCUGAUCAGGGGAUAAAAGGAUUAAUUGUCUCGUUGUUCUCAGCAGAGUUAACAACAAACUGUUUAGGUCUUUAGUUCACUUUCAAACUUUUCACCGUCUCGCUCAGUUUUAGACGCAAUCAAGUUACUUAAAUCUGCAGAACAAAGUCACAACAGAACUCUAAGAUACUGCUGGAGACUAAGAAUUAACACGCAAAUAUGACGACAUGAUGACUUUUCUCACACUUUUCAUGCACUAAUCUUCUACAUAUCAAACGCUCGUUCUAAUAAUGAACAUCGGUUUGCAUCUGUGCAUGUCAUCACUAUUCAACAACAGCAGAAGUUUCAUCGAGCAAGAUUUUCACAAUAAGACUGAAACUACAUACUGAGUAUGUCGACCAUGCAGCGUAUUUUUAAAUGAAUAAGUUUGAUUGGAAGUUAGUAAAACAAAAUGUCAAACACAAUACAGAUAAUGAGAAAAAUGCUAAAUAUGAGAGCCGUGAUUUCUAGCAUGAAUUCUCAAUCAUGUCAUGUCUGAUUUGUAGGGAAACACGAGCACAACUGAAAUAGAGACGCUGAAUUUCACAUUUAGAAAUUUCAGCAGAAGUGAUUCUCUUUUCAUGAGCUGUUCUGGAUGUUUAUUUAAAGCACUGAAAACUACACUAAUGAUGCAAAAAGAUGAUUUUUUAGUGCAAUCUAGUUUUAACCUACAGGACAGAAAGAUAUUUCUGAAGACAGAUAAAAGAACACUUCAGUCCUCUCGGAAACGUCUGUGCUGCCUGCAGCUUCUGUGUUGUACUACUACUUCUACAAGAGGACGUCGGAGUAUCUGGGCGACCCUCGGCUCUACGAAGAUUCACCGUGGCUGAGAGAACUGUUUGCUCGAAGCAGACAGUGAAACACCAGGAGGCCAGAAAUUUGUCAAAAACCCAGUCCAUACAGUGAAAAUAUAAAUAUCUAUCUAAACACUGGCCUCUUUAAUACAGCUCAUUUACAAUUACAAUGCCGUUUACAUUUUGCUUCCAGCAACAAACACAUUCAUAUGUAAAACGCAUUUCGUGCAAAAACAUGCUUUUAUUUUGAAAGGCCAUAAAACCUAUUCUAUACAUUUCCUUUCAGUGCAGCGAGGAUUGUGCCAAAUUGUGCUCUUUAAUGGUGAAAGUGACAUGAGAAGUUUUUAUAAAUCUCUAUAUAAAUGUCUAUCCUGCUGAUAGCAGUCACCACAUGCCCUUUUCUCUUUUCUCUUCUUGUUGCCGUGACGUUUUUAAAGUCUAUGUUCCAGAUGUUUUAUAUUCGUGUGUUGCUUUGAGUUUGUUUGUCGACUUUGAACAGAGUUUAAGCAGUUUCUCAUCUUCACUGUCUGUAAGAUGUUUAAAAUACAAUAAAAUAUCCUUUAAAAUAA